rnacentral:rRNA from 1 species
AACGAACGCUGGCGGCAGGCUUAACACAUGCAAGUCGUGCGCCCCGCAAGGGUUGCGGCACCUGGGUGAGUAACGCGUGGGAACGUACCUUUUGGUUCGGAACAACUACGGGAAACUGGAGCUAAUACCGGACAAGUCCUAACGGGGAAAGAUUUAGCGGCGCAAGAUCGGCCUGCGUCUGAUUAGCUAGUUGGUGAGGUAACGGCUCACCAUGGCGACGAUCAGUAGCUGGUCUGAGAGGAUGAUCAGCCACACUGGGACUGAGACACGGCCCAGACUCCAACGGGAGACAGCAGUGGAAAAUAUGAGACAAGGGGCGCAAGCCUGAUACAGCCAUGGCGCGUAAGAGAUGAAGGCCUUAGGGUUAUAAAGCUCUUUUGACCGAAAAGAUAAUGACUGUACCGGAAGAAGAAGCCACGGCUAACUUCGUG